UACGGGGGGGGCAAGCGUUGUUCGGAAUUACUGGGCGUAAAGGGCCCGUAGGUGGCCAACUAAGUCAGACGUGAAAUCCCUCGGCUUAACCGGGGAACUGCGUCUGAUACUGGAUGGCUUGAGUGUGGGAGAGGGAUGCGGAAUUCCAGGUGUAGCGGUGAAAUGCGUAGAUAUCUGGAGGAACACCGGUGGCGAAGGCGGCAUCCUGGACCACGACUGACGCUGAGUGAGCGAAAGCCAGGGGAGCAAACGGG
rnacentral:rRNA from 1 species